UUCUCUCUGAUUUAUUAUAUUUUGUUCAAUGUGCGCGUUCGAGUGAUAAGAAAUGUGUUUUUCAGGGGGGUAUACAUCGACAACAAAAUUAUUUGAUAUACGACGAGAGUUCUUGAUAUUCUUCAUAUUCCACAUUGUCAAAAAUUGGCAAAAACUCACGUUGACGUCUUGGCCGUUUGGUUGGCUGGAUGUGACACAGCCGAAUUUCGAACAACAUCAGCUAUGCCGACAUCUUGCCUUCUAAACGUCCAGCUGAGACAGAAGAAAAUUGCUACAUCGAAAUUACUAUUAUUUUGUUGCGAUCUCGGCAGCAAAAGUUCACGUCAGAAAAUUCGAAAAAAGGAUUUGAAGAGUCGCACGAGAAAGACAGAAAAAUGUGAGAGAGAGAGAAAGAGAGAGAAGUCAAGAAAAACUUUGAUGUUCAAUCCCGAAGACACCUUCUAACACCUGCACGAGGCUGGAGGUUCGCCAAAGAACUGAUAGCGUGGGCGUCGUACCUUCGAAGACAUAGACGCAAGGACGUACAUUGUUGUCCGCAAGAUGAAGAGAACGAUAUCACACGUCAUUUGCCGAUAUAACGGACGAAGCAAAGUCGAUCGUACUUAUGAGAGAAACUUCGCGCUGAUCGAAACCACCGAAGGCCAGCGAGAGAUCGUCGAUUCGUAAGCGUCGGAUUAUACUUCCGUCAACGAUAAUUUUGGCAUCGGCUCGAUUUCCUAAUAAAGCGGAAGCGCGUCCAGAAAGGCGCG